CAGAGUGACCUGAUCCGGGCGAGAUGGCAGAAGUGGAGGAGACACUGAAGCGACUGCAGAGCCAGAAAGGAGUGCAGGGAAUGAUCGUGGUGAACACGGAAGGCAUUCCCAUCAAGAGUACCAUGGACAAUCCCACCACCACACAGUACGCCAACCUCAUGCACAGCUUCAUCCUGAAGGCACGGAGUACCGUGCAUGAAAUUGACCCCCAGAAUGACCUCACCUUCCUUCGAAUUCGCUCGAGGAAGAAUGAAAUCAUGGUUGCACCAGAUAAAGGCUAUUUCCUGAUUGUGAUUCAGAAUCCAACUGAAUAGGCACUUGCCUGGCUACCUGUGUCAUUCCUUAAUUUAAUCCCCCCAAGAGUAAUAAUCAUGUCAGCACACUGGCAUGUGGAAAUUGCCUUAGAGCCCAGUCAGACCAAUCCAGUGACCACAGGUAGGCUGGCAGCUCUGCUUGCCCCACCAGAGGACUCCUGCUGCACCAAUCUUCC